GCUUAACUAAGUAUUGUAAUCUGGAAAAUCGUUAAAAUUUCUGAUUCUGUUUGCUAAAAUACACAGAAGGAUUUUGGCGCAAAUUGUUUAAUCCUUUUGGAAAUAGUCAGCAAAAGUGCCCAUUUUAUUUGACAUAAUAUGUUACCUUUAAAAGCUAAAUUUCAGAUUAAAUAUGAUAACUGCAACAAAUCUUAGCUAACUAUAUGUCAAUUAAAAAAUUGCUUCUAUGAAUUAAAAGAUGAAAAGAAAAUGCAAUUCUUUAUCAGUAACACAACAACAUAAAUCAAUCUACCAACUUAAAUUCCG
rnacentral:misc_RNA from 1 species